rnacentral:rRNA from 1 species
GACGAACGCUGGCGGCGUGCUUAACACAUGCAAGUCGAACGGUAAGGCCCCUUCGAGGGUACACGAGUGGCGAACGGGUGAGUAACACGUGAGCAACCUGCCCUUGACACUGGAAUAACAGUUGGAAACAGCUGCUAAUGCCGGAUAUGACCUUCGGUGACAUCACCUGGAGGUGGAAAGUGCUUAGCGGUCAAGGAUGGGCUCGCGGCCUAUCAGCUAGUUGGUGAGGUAACGGCUCACCAAGGCUUCGACGGGUAGCCGGCCUGAGAGGGCGACCGGCCACACUGGGACUGAGAUACUGCCCAGACUCCUACGGGAGGCAGCAGUGGGGAAUAUUGCACAAUGGGCGCAAGCCUGAUGCAGCAACGCCGCGUGCGGGAUGACGGCCUUCGGGUUGUAAACCGCUUUCAGUUCCGACGAAGCGCAAGUGACGGUAGGAACAGAAGAAGGACCGGCCAACUACGUGCCAGCAGCCGCAGUAACAC